AGUUUCAAUUUCGUUUGUUGGUUUUAUUUUUCCGUUUUUUUUUUUACAUUUAGUUCUCCUUACUAUGGGAAUUUUUUCGGUUGAAUCGCAUACAGGCCGUUCACAUAAUUGUCAACAAAUCUAAUUUGAAAAUUGGAACAAAUGAACUACACAAUAACCAACGUAUGGACAUCAUCAUUAAAACAAUUUUGACGCACCUGUCGUCGUUUCAUUCUUUUAUCAACGAGUGAAUAUCGUCAUCGUCAUCAUCAUUAUUAUCAUCUAAAGUGAUUCGCACAUGAGAUUAUGAUCAUCCAGGCAAAUACAUACAAUUUGAAUACCUGUUUGUGUAUAUGUUUUCCAUAUUAACUGAUAUAAAUAUUAUUCAGAAAAAUCAAGAUUAAAUUUUCUUUUCGAAAAAAUGAUUAAAUUGUAUAGAUUUUUAUUGUUAUGGGGAACCAUAAUAAUCGUAAAAAAUAUCAGAUGAAGAUGGCUUGUCCAAAAUCAUCAUCAACAACAAUAACAACAACAACAACAACAACAUCGACAAUGAACAAUAUGACCACAAAAACUAUUGCCAAUAACAAAAGCGUCGAUGAUGACGCUGACGACAAGAUAAUGGUGAUGAUGACAACCACCACCAUGAAGAAGAAACUACCAUCACAAAACAGCACACACAAAUAUAUUUGGAUGGCCAAUCUAAUUUAAUUUCGAACAUUUUGACCCGAAUAACCGCUACAAAUAGAAGAAAAAAGAAAAGACGAAUAAAAAAUAAUGAUAAUCAUCAUCGUUAUCCAAUAAAUAAUGUUGAUCUACAAUCAUCACCUGAUCAAAUCUUAUCAUUACCAUCAACAUUAUUUUCCUAUCCUUGUUUAGCAUCACUUUCAUUAUGUGCCACCACUAUCAAUGUUCAUUACUGUCAUUCGAAUGUUGCAUUGAUGAUGAUGAAACCUAAACAUUGUGAUUCCAUAACAACGGCCGUAGAUUAUGGUUAUAACAAUUUUAAUGAAAAAUCGAGAACUACAACUAGCAUAUAUAUCGAUUAUUGGUCUCGAAUUUUUAU